rnacentral:rRNA from 1 species
AUUGAACGCUGGCGGCAGGCCUAACACAUGCAAGUCGAGCGGGGUUUUCGGACCUAGCGGCGGACGGGUGAGUAAUGCGUAGGAAGCUGCCCGAUAGGGGGGGAUACCAGUUGGAAACGACUGUUAAUACCGCAUAAUGUCUACGGACCAAAGUGUGGGACCUUCGGGCCACAUGCUAUCGGAUGCGCCUACGUGGGGUUAGCUAGUUGGUGAGGUAAUGGCUCACCAAGGCGACGAUCUCUAGCUGGUUUGAGAGGAUGAUCAGCCACACUGGAACUGAGACACGGUCCAGACUCCUACGGGAGGCAGCAGUGGGGAAUUUUGGACAAUGGGCGCAAGCCUGAUCCAGCCAUGCCGCGUGCAGGAUGAAGGCCUUCGGGUUGUAAAGCACUUUCAGUAGGGAGGAAGAGUUGAGUGUUAAUAGUACUCAGCUUUGACGUUACCUACAGAAGAAGCACCGGCUAACUCUGUGCCAGCCGCCGCCGUAAGAC